rnacentral:lncRNA from 1 species
CGCAACGACGGACAGAGAUAAGAGAAACCGGGUUCACUCACAGCCAGUAUCUGUAACACUGGUCGACCCCCUUGCUCACUGGAAACCUGAGAUGACUGUCCAAUCACUAAGGGAGUUCCACAAUCAAAUACACAAAGGAUGAACAAAGGAAACUUAAAGUGAAUUAAGAUUUGUUUUGUUUAACAUCAACUGAGUGAAUAUAUAUGUAGAAAUUAAAGGCAACAGCUGUACCUAAUUAUGAUAAAACAAAAAGGUAAUUAUGAUAAUGAUGGUAAUUAUCCAAAAUAACCUAAUCCAAAAGAGAGAGAAGAAAAAGAAUAAAAAUCAAAAAGAGGAAAAGACAGUAGGACGUAGUAGCUGGUUUUCACCACAAGGGGUGUGCUUCACCAGGUGAGCAGAAAACUUAAUUCAAAUUAAAAUUCAAAACUGGUUUAAAUUGAAAUUUAAAAUAAGCAUGUAAGAAGAAUUAAAAGGAAAAUCUGAAUAAUAUCCUAUAAUAACCAAUGAUAACAGUAAGGUAUCAUUAAUAAUUAUGAAAUAAUCAAAAGGGUAAGAGUAGAAACAUGCAAUUCAAAACAGAAUUAAAAAGAGAGAGAUCAGAGAGCUGAACGCUGUGAACCGACUUAACAGGAGACGGCCACUAGAUGGCUCACUUCCUUUUAAGUAGGUCAAUCAGUGGUUGACCUGAGACAUUUAAUUUACACUAUUAAACAAUUACAUUUUAAUUCAAAUCAUGUUCGAACCAAACUCAAAGUAAAUGUAAACAGUCAAAGGCAGGAAAAUUUGUCUAACAUAAAAUAAUAUUCGCACGAGCAAAGCUGUAAAUGCAAAUAAUUAUUGAGAAUUUAGACGGGCUAAUUCAACAACCACAGGGAAAUAAAAAAAUUAACAUUAAGAGAGCAUUAUCUGAAACGGCCACGAGAUGGCGUAAUUGCACUCAUGCAGGCUGAAAUCAGAAGGCGAGGCGUAAUUUGAGACUUCUAAACACUUAAAGGACACCCUCUGGUGUUUAGUCAGCGGAAUUACAGACAACUUCAAUGUGAUUUAGAAUCUGAGCGUUUGUCGGCUGAUUUUCUGCGUCAAAAUCACAACUAAACAAACAGACAAAGGUUUUAGGACCUUUGCGGUGCUAUAUUACACAAGAGCGUGAGGCAGGAUUUCUUCGCUGCAAAAACACGCAAAUGUGAACAACAGGAAUUGUCCGUCUGUUGCACUCCCAUACACAUUUAUCAAAAUAGCACUUAUGAUUUAAAUGUGUUAGGUUUAAAAUCGGGUAGCUAAGCCAAUUUUUAGACCAGGAGAUUUAUACCUUGCGGUGCUAUAUUACACAAGAGCGUGAGGCAGGAUUUCUUCGCUGACAAAAACAACGCAAAUGUGAACAACAGGAAUUGUCCGUCUGUUGCACUCCCAUACACAUUUAUCAAAAUAGCACUAUGAUUUAAAUAGUUUUAGGUUUAAAAUCGGGUAGCUAAGCCAAUUUUUAGACCAGGAGAUUUAUAGUUUAUUUUUGAAUAUCACUGUGGUUCACCACGAAUUCAAUAACGAUAUGUAAUUACAAGGCUUUUUAACUACUGAAUCAAAGGAACGUCGCUCUGAUCAGAUUUACGUAUUGACAACUAAAAAAAAGAGAUUUCUUCGUCUUUUAAUAGGCGGGUUAUUAAUAUUAAAAUGUUCUCACUGCAGAGAGAUCUUGGUCUUCUCUUAACAGGAGACUUUUAACAUUAUACUGCAGUGUACUUUCAUUAAAAAUAACAGUGACUAUACUGUCAGGUUUUCUUUUUAGAAACUGUUAAUGUGCUGAACAGCUGGCUUUGUGCCGGAGUUCGCUCGAAGCGCGACUUAACUCACAAUUCAAAAAUGCGCAUGCAUAAU